AACAGACUCUUGUGUAGCUGUGCAUGCCUUUGUAUGAGGUACUCUGACAUCUUAAUUUGAAUGAAAAAUACCAUUACUUUUUUCCGGCCAGCUGAUCUCUCUCCUAUGAUGGGCCUGUGUGGAGCCUGCACCUGAAAUCUGUUGCUCAGUUCUGAUCUCACGAACCGCAAAAGGUUUUGCCUGGCCGCCUGGGUGGCUCCGACAGGCCUCCUUAGCUUGAAUCUGGUAUUAGUCCCAUCAGCCAACGCCCUGGUACAAGAAAAAUGAUAAUCCUAAACACCAACAGCUUCAGUUCCCAGUAUCUGGCUGCAUCUAGAUGGUCCUCUGAGCGUUGGGGGAGAGGAAGCUGCAUGUGAGAGACACAAGACGGGUGUGAGGACCGAGGACGGAAGAUGCCUCAGCUGCUCCAGCCCCCGGUAGCAGGAUCUCACCCGUGACAGGGUAAAACUGAAAUGAUAGCCAAGGCCAGUGCCUUCAAACUGCUGUCACAUUAGGUGUUGUUAAUAACCACACCUCCAAACUCCCGGAGAAGACGUUAAAUGGUUCCAUCCAAAACCACCAUCACCAUCAUCGUCAUUUGUCGAACAUUCUCUAUAUGGCAGUUGCUGAGUUCUGAAUGUUUGUGUUUCCCCCCAAAGUCUCAUAUGUUGAAAUUUUAAUCCAAUUAAAAUUUCACCGUCACCCAAGGUGACGGUAUUUGGAGAUGAGGCCUUUGGGAAGUGAUUAAAUUAUGAAGGUGGAGCCCUCCUGUCUGGGAUUUGCGCUCUUAUUAGGGAGAUCCCACAGAGAUUCCUACCGCUUCGACCAUGUGAGGACCCAAUGAGAAGUAGGCAAUCCGUCAUCCAGGAGAGGGCCUUCAUCAGAACCUGAUAAUGCUGGUGGCUCCAUCUCAAUCUUCAGCCUCCAAAACUAUGAGGAAUACAUCUCUGCUGUUUAUGAGCUUUGUUUCAGCAGCCCAAGCAGAAUCAGACAGCCUCAUUGAGCUGUGGUACGGUCAUUGUCUCAUUGGAUCCCCAAAACUACUUUACAAGACAUAUUAGAAAUGGCUUCAUUUCUGAGAGGGAUGACAAAGUUAAUCCUAUUUUGAGUUCCAUUUGAAGAAAAUGACACUUAAAGCUUGUUUUGCAUUUAUCAAAUGAGCCAGUGAGUUCAACAUUUACUGAAUGCCUUCGAAUGGAAGACACCGUGUUAGAUACCAGGGUUAUAAAGAUGAGCGGAGAACAGUCACUUCUGUCAAGAUAUUUAAUGUCUGGUGGGAGUUACAGAGUAGAAUUUGUGGUUUUCUGAAUCUCCGCAGGACUUGGCAUCCAGACAGAAGUGUCAUCACUUGGUAAUGGAUAUACUUGAAUCAGCCAAGCCACCCAUUUAGCAGCAGGAUAUUUGACAGUCUUCCUGAUUAAAGAAAAGAAGGUGCUUUACAAAAAAAGUUCCUCUCAUUUUCAUGUGUUUUCAAGGUGAACCAACUGUAGGGGAAAUAAGGAGAACACAAAGAUGUCAUUCUGAGGCAGAAGGGCAAUAACCGGGAUUACAAACUCAGAUCUACCACUUUUCAGAUGACGAGGUUAAUCAGCCAACUCUUUUGGGCUUCAGCUUUCGGUUCUGGUUUGGCAGGUUUGAGGUGGAGCCUGAGAACAGCAGCUCCUCCAGAGGGCCCUCCGAGCCGGUGGUGUUCCUGGUCCAAAGACCACCCUCUGCAUAACAAGUGCUGGAUGGAGAGUGAUUUCCCCCGGGACCAACCAGGGGAUUGGGUUCUUUUAGAAGUACCCAGAAAAGGCGGGGAUGGGAUGUUGGGCCUGCCACAGCUGCAGCCUUGCCUUCUCCUACUCUUGCUCUUUCCUCCUCCCCCCUGCCCUGUUUUAGCUUCCACCUAGCAGAGACAGAGAGGGGAGCAUUUGCCCCACUACAGAGAGCCUUCCCACCCAGGGCUCUGCAGCGAGGGUCCUCUGACUGCAGUUUCACAGUGACGGUUUGACCAAUCUCUGUCGCGGGGGCAAGUUACUGACCCAUCUUAGGUCCUACGUGCACCCUGGCCAGGUGUAGCCUGAUUUACCUCCAUGUGCAGUUAUCAAGAUAUCAACACUGAAU